GAUGAGCAUGCGUCCCAUUAGCUUGUUGGUAAGGUAACGGCUUACCAAGGCAACGAUGGGUAGGGGUCCUGAGAGGGAGAUCCCCCACACUGGUACUGAGACACGGACCAGACUCCUACGGGAGGCAGCAGUGAGGAAUAUUGGUCAAUGGGCGCAAGCCUGAACCAGCCAUGCCGCGUGCAGGAUGAAGCAUCUAUGGUGUGUAAACUGCUUUUGUACGAGAAGAAACACUCCUUCGUGAAGGAGCUUGACGGUAUCGUAAGAAUAAGGACCGGCUAACUCCGUGCCAGCAGCCGCGGUAAUACGGAGGGUCCAAGCGUUAUCCGGAAUCAUUGGGUUUAAAGGGUCCGUAGGCGGUUUUGUAAGUCAGUGGUGAAAGCCCAUCGCUCAACGGUGGAACGGCCAUUGAUACUGCAAGACUUGAAUUAUUGGGAAGUAACUAGAAUAUGUAGUGUAGCGGUGAAAUGCU
rnacentral:rRNA from 1 species